AGACGAACCGGACAAACGUUAUUCGGAAUCAUUGGGCUUAAAGGGUGCGUAGGCGGUGCGGAAAGUUGGGUGUGAGAUCCCUCGGCUCAACCGAGGAACUGCGCUCAAAACUUCCGUGCUAGAGUGAGACAGAGGUGAGCGGAACUGAUGGUGGAGCGGUGAAAUGCGUUGAUAUCAUCAGGAACACCGGUGGCGAAGGCGGCUCACUGGGUCUCUACUGACGCUGAGGCACGAAAGCUAAGGUAGCGAACAGGAUUAGAAACCCUAGUAGUCC
rnacentral:rRNA from 1 species